UGAGGAAUAUUGGUCAAUGGGCGCGAGCCUGAACCAGCCAAGUCGCGUGAGGGAUGACGGCCCUACGGUUGUAAACCUCUUUUGUCGGGGAGCAAAUUCCGUUACGUGUAACGGAGUCGAGAGUACCCGAAGAAAAAGCAUCGGCUAACUCCGUGCCAGCAGCCCGCGGUAAUACAGUACU
rnacentral:rRNA from 1 species